CCUACGGGUGGCUGCAGUCGGGAAUAUUGCGCAAUGGAGGAAACUCUGACGCAGUGACGCCGCGUGCAGGAAGAAGGUUUUCGGAUUGUAAACUGCUUUAGACAGGGAAGAAAAAAGACAGUACCUGUAGAAUAAGCUCCGGCUAACUCUGUGCCAGCAGCCGCGGUAAUACAGAGGUCUCAAGCGUUGUUCGGAAUCACUGGGCGUAAAGCGUGCGUAGGCUGUUUCGUAAGUCGUGUGUGAAAGGCGCGGGCUCAACCCGCGGACGGCACAUGCUACUGCGAGACUAGAGUAAUGGAGGGGGAACCGGAAUUCUCGGUGUAGCAGUGAAAUGCGUAGAUAUCGAGAGGAACACUCGUGGCGAAGGCGGGUUCCUGGACAUUAACUGACGCUGAGGCACGAAGGCCAGGGGAGCGAAAGGGAUUAGAUAUCCCAGUAGUC
rnacentral:rRNA from 1 species